rnacentral:lncRNA from 1 species
AGGUCAGGUGGUCUGGUAUUCCCAUCCCUUUCAGAAUUUUCCACAGUUUAUUGUGAUCCACACAGUCAAAGGCUUUGGCAUAGUCAAUAAAGCAGAAAUAGAUAUUUUUCUGGAACCCUCCUGCUUUUUCGAUAAUCCAGCUGAUAUUGGUCCCUUCUUCUCCAGGGACCUCUUUAUUGAGGGCUGGUGUGUCUUCUUGGCACAGCUGACACUUCUGAAGGGCUCAGCUGCCAAAUUGGCUGAGUAUGGGCAGUUUUUCAGGUUGUCAAGCAGUAGAAAUAUGGGGGGAGGUCCUACCACCAGUUUAUUGGACAAGCUUGGAACAUCCCAGCUCUUCAAUAAUAACAACCCAUCAUAUUCAUAAGGGCUAGAAAAUUUCCCAAGCACAUUCAUACUUAUUAUCUCAUUAAAUCACAACAUCUGCAUGGAGACUUUGUGCCAAUUUUAUAGAUGAAGAUCCUAACCCCUUGUCAAAAUGUGAUCUGCAAGCUGACACCAUUGGCAUUGCUUGGGAGCCAGUUUGACAUGCAGAAUCUUGGGCUCAGACCUGCUGAGUCAUGACCUGCCAUUUAAGAUGAUUCCCAGGUGAUCUGUGAGGGCUUCCCUUGUGGCUCAGCUGGUAAGGAAUCUGCCUGCAAUGAGGGAGACCUGGGUUCGAUCCCUGGGUUGGGAAGAUCCCCUGGAGAUGGGAAAGGCUACCCAUUAGACCGCAGAGUCGGACACGACUGAGCGACUUUUCACUUUCACAGGUGAUCUGUGUGCACAUUAAAGAGUGGAAGUGCUGGACUAAAGGAUAGUGACUCUCCCAGCAUUCCAGGACAGCAUGAUGGCUCACCUGGGAUGAAAACCCAGGCUCCAAGAGGUAGAGGCACUGAGCCUUGUAAUAAGGGGGAGAAAACCAAACCAUCAAGCAUCUUCUCAGGGCAACCACUGGACUUGUCUGGAAGAGCUCCAUACAUCACUUUGGUUGCCCUACUUGAGUGAUGGGGGAGCAAAGGAAACAAACUGCUGUGCAAAAGAAGGAAUUUGUGUUGAUCCUGAGAACAAAGACAAAGGUGGGCAGAGAAAUUAGGAGGAGAAAAGAGGAGGAGCGUGCCAGAGCCUUGGAGGAAGAGGAAACUGGUGAAAAUGAGUAUUCAUGCCUCUUCAGCCAAGGCAGUACAGACCUUCAGUGUUUCAUCUUUGAGAGAAGUUUGUCCACAAAAGCUUCCAGAACAGCAGCCCUGAGAGUUUGAUGGGAAACGGGAUAUCCACAUGGUCUCAAAAUAUCUCUCAUAAAUGGCUUAUUAAUAACAAAGGGAAAAAUAGCAACCUUCCUACUGGCAGACAGUUGAAUGAAAUGAACAAGAUUAAUAUCUCCAGUGCUGGGACUAAUGGACAUCAUGCGUUCCCUGAGAAGGACUCAUCAUUUCUGUAGCGUUUCUGCUGAAAAUAUUUAACGUGGACCUAAUCACAGAGAAUUAUCAGACAAAUCCAAACUGAGGGACAUUCUGAAAAAUAACUGGUCUGUAUUCUUCUAAAAAAUGUCAGUGUCUUAAAAACCAGAAGACGAGGUACAGUUUCUGAUCAAAGAUGAGCAAAAGGAUUUGACAGUGGAAUCCGUGCACCAUCCUGGAGUGGAUCCUGAACCAGAGGAUGAAAAGUAUUAUACAGGUCAUCACCUGACAUCGUUGUCACCUGACAUCAUCUGAAAACUGGUGAGAUCGCAAAAUAGACUUCUUAGAGAGUAAUACCGUGUUACUGUUAAAUUUCUUGAUCUUGAUAACGGUGCCAAGGUGACAUAAGAGAAUGUCCUUGUUUUUUAGAAAUUCACACUGAAGGGUUUAUGGAAUGUGAUGCCAAAAUUUUCAGCUGAUUUAGAAAAAAUAUCUAUAUAUCACAUAUAUAUAUAUGUGUGUGUAUAUAUAUAUAUAGAGAGAGAGAGAGUGCACAAGUGUGUCAAAACGUUAACAGUUGGUGAAUCUUGGAGAAGAAUAUAGCAGUUUUUUCUAUAUUCUUGCAAGCGUUCUUUUCUGGAUAUUAUUUCAAAACAAUAAGUUUAAAAAAAUGCUUUCAUAUCUAGCAAAUGGAAAACCACAAAGGUAAAUGAUAAGGAUCAUCUGGUGGUUUGAAUAUAGAGUGUCAUUAUUAACACGUUCUUGGUGCUAGAUGUCUUCAGAGGAAAUCGCUUAUCUUCUUAACCCUUUAAGAAAGGGAUCAUCACUUCACAUGUGCAGAUGAGAAAGAUGAAGGCUACAGAGGUGAAAUAAAACAUUCAAGGUCACCCA